rnacentral:rRNA from 1 species
UACGUAGGGUGCGAGCGUUUGUCCGGAAUUAUUGGGCGUAAAGGGCUCGUAGGCGGUCUGUCGCGUCGGGAGUGAAAACUCAGGGCUUAACCCUGAGCCUGCUUCCGAUACGGGCAGACUAGAGGUAUGCAGGGGAGAACGGAAUUCCUGGUGUAGCGGUGGAAUGCGCAGAUAUCAGGAGGAACACCGGUGGCGAAGGCGGUUCUCUGGGCAUUACCUGACGCUGAGGAGUGAAAGUGUGGGGAGCGAACAGG